UUUAAAAUUUAUUAAAUUUAAUUUUAAAUUAUUUUUUGAUACUCUUUAAAAAAGUGAUUUUUUUUUUCGAUUAUAAUUUUCACAAUAAUAUUAAACAGGUCUUCCAUCUCGGAAACGCUAGUCGGCGGGUAUCCCAACGAGUGAGGCCACCCGGGCCCAACUCAGGUGGUAAGGGGAGGUUGGGACUGAAAUAUCGUUGCAGUCAUAGCCUCGAUCUCACGCAUUCUUCCCCACUUCUCAGAGUCAAAACCCAUGCGCCUCUCUCGACAUACCAACGUACACAGAGAAAUCCAUAUAUCCGCGAAGAAUAUCCAUUGUUUCCCAACGACGGUUAAACCUCCAAACAUGUGCCGUUUUACUUACAUCCUUCUAACUCUAGGCAACAAAUCUCAACCAACGGCAGCCUCCCUUGUAUCUGGAAUAGAGCGAAUCGAAAGGAGAGAAGAUUCCCCAAGUUUUAUUGUUUCUCAUUUUAUUUCCAGUUUUCAAUUCGGUUUGUUUUGUUUUCAAUUCUAUGUUUUACUGUUUCUCAUUCAAUUUGAAAAUAAGAAGAAUUGUUGGUUGUAUUUGAUUGCUAAUUUUGUUUACUUGAAAUCUGUUUGAAUAAUCUGUUACUAGAGAUAAUCUGUUUUGUUUGCUUUGAAAUCAAUAGACAUUGGCUGAGAUUUGGAAGAAUAGAUAAACCAAACCAACCAAUUUCAUUCA